rnacentral:rRNA from 1 species
UACGGGGGGGGGCAAGCGUUGUUCGGAAUUCCUGGGCGUAAAGGGCGCGUAGGCGGUUUGCUAAGUUGAAUGUGAAAACUCUGGGCUUAACCCAGAGCCUGCAUUCAAUACUGGCAGGCUAGAGUUCUGGAGGGGAUAGCGGAAUUCCGAGUGUAGAGGUGAAAUUCGUAGAUAUUCGGAGGAACACCAGUGGCGAAGGCGGCUCACUGGUCCAUUACUGACGCUGAGGUGCGAAAGCGUGGGGAGCAAACAGG